CUGUGCACUUUUUUCAAAACGGCGAAAUUGACAUUGAUGACAAUAUGAGAAAUUUUUGAUUGAAAUUUCCUCACAAGAAAUUAAUUCUCUAUUUCCUAUACACACUAUUUUUAACCCGCAUUACUUUUUAUCAUAUUGAUUAUCAAUUGAUCUAUCAUUUCACCAAUUAUCAUAUUUUUCUAUAAUCAUUUUGCCACACUAAUUCAAGAAAAAUAUCGCCCAGCCCUUUUCGAAACAUCGUUCUCAUUGCGCCCUUCAGAAUAUUCGUCCUUUGUCAAAUCGUAAUUCCAAUUGAGCCCAUUGGCUGCGUCCAACUGACAAAUCAUCUGUCAGAUUCGCCGAUUUGUUUAUCCCUUUCGUUUUCUUCUAUGUUAAUUACGCCGUAUUGCAUGGAGCAUAAAAAUAUAAUAAAAAAGUUAAAAAUAGUGAAAAAUAUCAGCAUUCCUCACUGGUACUAUCACUUAGUGGCACAACCAGAAACGUACCGCUUUGAGAAGCCACGGGAACCCGGAGAUUCCCCGGUCAAGUGGUGUCCCCAGAGGAAAUGCAGCUGAGUACAUGGCUACAGGAAGAAGUCAAAGAUCGACGCCUGCAACUGGGAUAAUAUUCGUGUUCCCUAUUGGAUGACUCCCGCUAGCGGUGGGAAGUGGUCCAUUAUGUAUUUAAACAGGUAUUUUGUGUACAUUUAUCAUUAUCUUUAGUAACAUAAAUGCCGUAAAAGUACGGUAGCCAAGAGAA